UGCAGUCGAAUGAAUCCCUGGGGGCUUGCUCCCAGGGGGAAAUGGCGAAAGGGGCAGUAAAGCGUGGAUAACCUACCUCGGGGACGGGGAUAGCCAUCCUAACGGAUGGGUAAUACCCGGCGAUCUGGCGAGAGGGCCUCUUCUUGCCAGGAAAGGAAUUUCGCCUCGAGAGGGGUUCACGUGCUAUUAGCUGGUUGGUGGGGUAACGGCCUACCAAGGCAAAGAUGGCUAGCGGGUGUGAGAGCACGACCCGCGCCACUGGCACUGAGACACUGGCCAGACUCCUACGGGAGGCUGCAGUCGAGGAUCUUCGGCAAUGGGCGCAAGCCUGACCGAGCGACGCCGCGUGUGUGAUGAAGGCCUUCGGGUUGUAAAGCACUGUCGAGGGGGAGGAAGCCCGCAAGGGUUGACCUAUCCCUGGAGGAAGCACGGGCUAAGUUCGUGCCAGCAGCCGCGGUAAGACGAACCGUGCAAACGUUGUUCGGAAUCACUGGGCUUAAAGGGCGCGUAGGCGGUCGGUCAAGUCUGGGGUGAAAUCUUUCGGCUCAACCGGAAACGUGCCCCGGAUACGGAUCGGCUGGAGGGAGGUAGGGGUCGACGGAACUUCCGGUGGAGCGGUGAAAUGCGUAGAUAUCGGAAGGAACACCGGUGGCGAAAGCGGUCGACUGGACCUUUACUGACGCUGAGGCGCGAAAGCCAGGGGAACAAACGGGAUUAGAUACCCCGGUAGUCCUGGCCCUAAACGAUGGGUACUAGGUAGAAGACUGGACAUGGGUUUUCUGCCGAAGCUAAGUGUUAAGUACCCCGCCUGGGGAGUAUGGUCGCAAGGCUGAAACUCA
rnacentral:rRNA from 1 species